CAGUAGCCGCGGUAAUACGGAGGGUGCGAGCGUUAAUCGGAAUUACUGGGCGUAUAGCGCGCGCAGGCGGUUUCUUAAGUCUGAUGUGAAAGCCCCCGGCUUAACCGGGGAGGGUCAUUGGAAACUGGGAGACUUAGAGUGCAGAAGAGGAGAGUGGAAUUCCAUGUGUAGCGGUGAAAUGCGUAGAUAUAUGGAGGAACACCAGUGGCGAAGGCGACUCUCUGGUCUGUAACCGACGCUGAGGCGCGAAAGCGUGGGGAGCAAACAGGAUUAGAUACCCGCGUAGUCCCUGUCUCUUAUA
rnacentral:rRNA from 1 species